rnacentral:rRNA from 1 species
UGGGGAAUAUUGGACAAUGGGCGAAAGCCUGAUCCAGCCAUGCCGCGUGUGUGAAGAAGGUCUUCGGAUUGUAAAGCACUUUAAGUUGGGGGGAAGGGCAGUAAGCGAAUACCUUGCUGUUUUGACGUUACCGACAGAAUAAGCACCGGCUAACUCUGUGCCAGCAGCCGCGGUAAUACAGAGGGUGCAAGCGUUAAUCGGAAUUACUGGGCGUAAAGCGCGCGUAGGUGGUUCGUUAAGUUGAAUGUGAAAGCCCCGGGCUCAACCUGGGAACUGCAUCCAAAACUGGCGAGCUAGAGUAGGGCAGAGGGUGGUGGAAUUUCCUGUGUAGCGGAGAAAUGCGUAGAUAUAGGAAGGAACACCAGUGGCGAAGGCGACCACCUGGGCUCAUACUGACACUGAGGUGCGAAAGCGUGGGGUGCAAACAGG